UGUCGGUAGGUGAACCUGUCGACAGAUCAUUGGUGGAUUUCCGGGGUUGCGCCCCGGGUGCUGUCUAUUCCGGGAUUGGCAGUGCGAAUCCUAGGCGUGAGUUUUGGAUUGUUUGGAUUGGGUCUGGGAUGCCACACCCCUUCCAGGUGCACAGAGUAAAAAAAGAUUGACAACUGCCAGCAAGGGAUCAUUCGGCUUUC
rnacentral:misc_RNA from 1 species